GGGAAGGGCGUUCUCUCUGCGGUCAGGCCGGGCAGAGUCAUCCCGAGGGGUGGGUCCUCCGGCGGCAGAAAAGGAAAGCCCACCUUUUUUCAUUGUUAAGGACGCGGUGGAAUGUGAUGGUUUGAUCUCAAACGGACCAGGGAGGGGAAGAACCAGCGCGAAGGAGCGGGACUGAGCAGAAUAAACAGCCCCCUCCUCUUCCUUCGGUCCAGCCUGGGAAAUAUGUGGAGCAACUUGUCCCGGUUCGUGUCGGCUGCCGUCCGCCUGAACUUUGUGGAUUAAUUCGAGGUUCUUUUGUGACCCGGCGGGGGAGCCGUUCAGGAUGGAGGGAUUCUGGAGGGAUGUGUAACGUCCUGAAGACGAAUCGUUAAAAUGACAGAUUUGUCUGCUAAACACCAUUUAGAGGCAAUUUUGGAGACCUAAACAACCGCAACAAGUCAGGCUGACAAGAGGACCAGGAGAGCGCCUUGAGGUCCUGCUAUCACUGCCACGCAGAUGUGGAAGUCCCAAAACGCUGCUAUCAAAUAACCCGGACGUGGAAAACAGAGAGAAAAGAAUCCGUUCUGAAGUUAGCAGCCAUGUCGGAUCAUAAAGACAUGACGCACCGCCACUUACGGCACAAGCUGCAGAGUCUUGGCAGGAGGCUGGACGAGCUGGAAGAAGCGACCAACAAGCUGCAGAAGUCGGAGGAUGAGCUGCUUGACC